CAAUAGCGUAUAUUAAAGUUGUUGCAGUUAAAAAGCUCGUAGUUGGAUUUCUGGUGGGAGCGAUCGGUCUGGCGCUUAGCGCGAGUACUUGCAUCGUCUCCGGCCAUCCUUAGGGAGAGUCUGUCUGGCAUUAAGUUGUCGGGCAGAGGAUCCUCAUCGUUUACUGUGAAAAAAUUAGAGUGUUCAAAGCAGGCUUAUGCCGUUGAAUAUAUUAGCAUGGAAUAAUAAGAUAGGACUUUGGUACUAUUUUGUUGGUUUGCGCACCAAAGUAAUGAUUAAUAGGGACAGUUGGGGGUAUUCGUAUUCCGUUGUCAGAGGUGAAAUUCUUGGAUUUACGGAAGACGAACUACUGCGAAAGCAUUUACCAAGGAUGUUUUCAUUAA
rnacentral:rRNA from 1 species